AAGGAAUAUUGCUCAAUGGGAGAAAUCCUGAAGCAGCAACGCCGCGUGGAGGAUGAAGGGUCUAUGACUUGUAAACUCCUGUAAAGAAGGAAAAAAUUCCCAUUAGAUGGGAGAUGAUGGUACUUCUGGAGUAAGCCCCGGCUAACUACGUGCCAGCAGCCGCGGUAAUACGUAGGGGGCAAGCGUUGUCCGGAUUUACUGGGUGUAAAGGGUGCUCAGGCGGAUUUGUAAGUCAGAGGUGAAAUCUUACAGCUUAACUGUGAAACUGCCUUUGAUACUGCAAGCCUAGAGUAUGGAAGAGAGUGAUGGAAUAUCAGGUGUAGCAGUGAAAUGCGUAGAUAUCAGAUAGAACACCAAUGGCGAAGGCAGUCACUUGGUCCAUUACUGACGCUAAAGCACGAAAGCGUGGGUAGCAAACA
rnacentral:rRNA from 1 species